CUGGCUCAGGCAGUACGGGGUGACCCUUCUAAACACACUGGGCAGAAUUUAACAACAGAAAAGAUAGACAGAUAGAUCCAUAAAUGGAUGGAAAGAUGGAUAGAUGGAUAGAUCGAUAAAUAGAUAUAUAUAGAUAGAUAGACAGAUAGAUAGAUAUGGAUAGAUUGAUAGAUAGAUAGAUAGAUUGAUAGAUAGAUAUAUAGAUAGAUUGAUAGAUAGACCAAUUGAUAAAUAGAUAGAUAGAUAGAUAAAUAGAUUGAUAGAUAGAUAGAUUGAUAGAUAGAUAGAUAGAUAGAUAGACGGAUAGAUAGAUUGAUAGAUAGAUGGAUAAAUAGAUAGAUAGACGGAUAAAUAGAUAGAUAGAUUGAUAGAUAGAUAGACGGAUAAAUAGAUAGAUAGAUAGAUAGACGGAUAAAUAGAUAGAUAGAUUGAUAGAUAGAUAGAUAGAUAGAUAGACGGAUAAAUAGAUGGAUAAAUAGAUAGAUAGAUAGAUAGAUAGACGGAUGGAUAGAUAGAUGGAUAGAUGGAUAGAUAGAUAGAUGGAUAGAUGGAUAGAUUAAAGCAUAGAUAUGCUUCUCUAUUUGACACAGCAUUAUCAUUACAGAAUGUGUAUCUAAGAAGAGAGGCACUGCCUGAGCUCUGUGGAUGGCAUGAACACUGGGGCGUGGUGCCGUUCCGGGGAAAUCAUCAGUGUUCGUGUGGUGUGAUGAAGUUCAUUAUUUCUCAGCAGCACAUCCUGAGAGAGUUCAUCGCUCUCACAGCACGGCAAUAUGCCAGCAGCUCCAAUUUGUUUUAUUUUAUUACAGAUGAGACUUUGCAGCUUUUUUUCUUUUAAGGAAGGAAGGAAGGAAGAAGUGUGUUAUAAACCGUCCGCUAUAAAGCGUCCAUCCCUCACCGGCCUCCUGUUUCUCUCUCUAAGACUUACAGAAUCUUCACCCUACCAGCGAUUCCACAUUUCUUCUCGGUUGAGUAAACAACGCAGUCUGUAAGUCACUUGAUUAUCAGGCUUGGAUGAUGUGGAGUGUGCGACAUACUCACAUGUCCCUGUGAACGAGCUGUUACUAUAGAAACAAUAACAAAAUUAGACCGAGCGCAUCCGACACAUAAUCCUGUGAUCUGAAUUACAGCUGAACUGCUGUCACUUCUGCUGUUAGAGAAAAUUCAUCUACAGCUUCUGACCAAUCAGGACCAAGAAUACAACAGCGCCGUGGUACAAUUUACAUCAUUUGUAUGUUUACACACAGCGCCCUCCGCUAAUAUCGGCACCCGUGGUAAAUAUGAG
ensembl:lncRNA